UACGGAGGAUGCAAGCGUUAUCCGGAAUUAUUGGGCGUAAAGCGUCCGCAGGUGGCACUUCAAGUCUGUCGUCAAAGACCGGGGCUUAACCCUGGAAAGGCGAUGGAAACUGAAAGGCUAGAGAGAGGUAGGGGUAGAGGGAAUUCCCAGUGUAGCGGUGAAAUGCGUAGAGAUCAGGAAGAACAUCGGUGGCGAAGGCGCUCUGCUGGACCAUAACUGACACUCAGGGACGAAAGCUAGGGGAGCGAAUGGG
rnacentral:rRNA from 1 species